rnacentral:misc_RNA from 1 species
AACGCACAUUGCGCCCGCUAGCUCUCUAGCGGGCAUGCCUGUUCGAGCGUCAUCUCAAACCCAGCGGACCCCGCGCCUCCCGUCGAGGCGCGGCGCGCGCUGCGUUGGGGCGCUGGGGCGACCGGUCCAAGGUCUACCCAUGCCCCGAAAUACAGCGGCGGCGCCGCCGCGGCCCCCAGCGUAGUAGACCACACGUCGCUGCAGGGAGACCCGCGGGAGGCUUGCCAGCCCCUAAACGAAGACAUCCUAAACUCUCCAGGAUUGACCUCGGAUCAGGUAGGAAUACCCGCUGAACUUAA